GGUGACACUAAUGUCCCUUUUAUUUUGAAAUUCACUUUGAAUUGCAAUUCUCAUUUUGGCUCUUGAAAGAAGUGAGGGGAGCAGGGUUAAUCACCAGACAGGAUAAAAUGGUGGUCUUUACACUGGGACUAUUAACUUAUCAAGUCUGUGUUUUGAGGCCUACAUUUAUUUAAAAGGAAAGAAAAAUGUAUAAUCUGUUACUCAGUAUUGAUUACAGAUUGCAUAGAUAUAUAAUUGAUAGUUUUACAUUUCCCACACCCCUUUUCAGUCCCCUUCACUUAUCGGAUGAGAGCGUUGCAUACUUUGUGUUUGUGUCCGGGCCUGCCUUAGCUUUGCACCCUACAAAGGAUAAUGGCCUUUGAUUAAAUAGUGGAGACACUUUGUUUUUGUAAUUAAAGUUUUCAUCAGCAUACUGUGCAUAGAAUUAUGAACGUAAAAUGUAAUUUUACUUGCAACCGGAGAGGCCUAUAAAAUAUUUAAUUUUAUAUUUUGUACUACUGUUUUCAAAUGUCCACACACUGCACAACAUCAAAUUACCCCGAUGGGACAGGUUGAACAGUAUUGUAAACCAUGCACACCGUAUAGUACACACUGAAUUAUUCAAACAAGGCGCUAUAAACAUACGGGCUGGGCCUAGCUUGUGUUAUACCAGAUCUGAUUUUCAGCUUUUACUUGGUUGUCCCCAAUUACAAGACUGAGGCUAAAAUUGGCACGCUGUGAUUAUAGUGUAAGCAGUUAUUUUGUCUCAAUUUUGCCAUUCUGGAUUAAUUUCGGUAAAAUUUUGCAGAUAGCAAUCUUACGGCACUAAAAGUGAAGGUUGUAACUUGCGUCACUCAAAAGACGUUCGUUAGACACUGGUUUUGUACCUCCUGUAGACUAUAGAACAGAGAAAGCUAUUUUCUGCUUCCUUAGCGCAAACUAUUUAGCCCUAGCAAUGCAGUACAGGAUAGGGUAGGAUUGGUUUUUUUUUUCCCCAGUGCCAAUGCCUGCUUUGUGCACAACGUCAAACGUGUAUUUUAUAUAUACAAAAUCAAAUCUGAAAGGACAGAUUGGUACAGACAAGUCAAAACUACCAUAGAAUUUUUUUUUUUCUAAGUAUUUCCCAAAGCAGUCUCCUUCACUUCACAAGUAUCUACUUUUAGCCCACCCUGCGCACAAAAAGCCACGUUUAACUCGAGGACAGUAAAACAUUAGAUGUGCAAACACGAGUGUCAUGCAGUUAUGCGCCAACAGUUGUAUCACAGAUGCAUGAUAUAGGUGUCCUUUAAUGCUAUGAUUCUUCAAAAUUUUACUUCCAUGUCUUUAUCAUACUAAGUGACUCUUUCUGAGCCACUCAGCCGUGUUGUCAGACACCUGUAUAAGAAUCACUGAUUUCAAGAAUCUAAUUUUGGUAGACAAGACUGUAAAUAAAUUGUUAUAGCAGCAGGCUGCUACAUGGAGCCCGUUUGGGUCAUGAGCAAACGGGUCCCACAAAAAUGUAUCUUACCUCACCCAGGCUCAAGAUCACACUGGAGACAUACAGUGGCAUGUUAACAUUAUAUAGGGGAGGGUUAAUUGCACAGUGCCUUAUAUAUUCCUAGGUCAAAAAAUUCAAAGGGCAUAUAUGUUAUUAAACGGCAGGUUAUAAACCUCAUAGCACUUCAUUGGUUAAAGAUAGGAUGUGUUAAAAAAUUCAUAAAGUCCCACAGAGAACAAGAAAUGGUUUAAAUAUACAUUGAAAUUAGGCUUAUAUUUUAAAUUAUGUUGCAACCUUCAAUUAAAUAGACGAAUCUGCUAAAUGUUUAAAUUCCGUCAAGACAGACGGUUUAUUUUUGCAUUUAAAAAAAAAAAAUCUGUAAUUUUCAUGAACGGGUUAAGCUAAUUGCAUUGAGAUGCACUAUACGAAGGGGUGGAAAAAAAAGUAACAUUUCAAGAUGAGAUAUUUAAAAGGUUUUGUGCGAUACAUUUGCCCACGUAAAAAACAACAAACCAGAAAAACAAAGAAUAAGAUUUAAUAGGAUUUUCUAGCACUGGGGUAACAGGACAUUAUAUAACAAAUUAACAUAUUGCGUAUUUUCACGCAUACGAGCAGGUAUGUGCACCUAUGUCUUGAAUCCUGAUAAAUGGUUAGUUUAUAUAGCUAUAGAUUAUAGCUUCGCGUUAAGGCAAGUCAAUAUUCCUUUGACCACAACAUUGUAAAAUAUAUGGGCUGCUGCCACACACUAUAAUAUUAUAUUUUAUAUAUAUUUAUAUUAUAGUGCAACUAACAACUGUAGGAUAUAAAUUUGACUUAAAUUAAGUUUUUCCUUAAUAUAUUUUAAUUUUCUUUGAAAGAAUAUAGUUUUCUUCCAAAGACUUGGACCAAUUUUGUAGGAGAUCAAUGUAAACUGCCCAGUUUGUAUAUCAUGUAUACUAGUUUACACGUGCAAAUAUGAAUUAGUUUAACUAUUUUUGUAUAAAUUCUUGUAAAACUCUAAAUUGUGAUUUUUUUUUUUUCCUGUCAUUUUAGUACUUUUUAGAAUAAUUUUUUUAUCAUUUAUUUUUCAGUGUUUUUGAUUCUCUUGAUUGUUUAAGAAAAGAAA